AGGCCCUGGCGAGCGCGGCGGCGGCAGCGCUGGGGAACGGCGUCCCGCGCCCUCUGCUUCUCCGCGGGGCAGGGGCUCGGUCCCCGCCACCGUCUCCGGGGCGCCCCACACACUGGCGCCUGCGGUGGGGCCUGCUCCCGGCGGAGGACAAAGAAUCCAGACCCUUCCUGGACGCUUGUCCCCAGACGUUCCUUCCCUCUACGCCCCGAGGGGAAUCCCAGGGAAGGUUCCCAGAAAUACUACAGUGAGGAGAUCGCGGGUUGGAAGUCCCAGCACCUGAGAACACGGUGCUGGCGCUGGGCUCAAGAUUUGGCUUUCCCAUCUGGAAAAGGGGAAUGACUGCCCCGCCACUCAGGGCUGCGGCGCUCACCCAGCGGGAAGCCGCACGGCGGUCCCCGCAGGUCCCGAUUCAAGAGCAAAUACCACGUCUGGUCUACUGAAUUGGCAAGCCUCCUGGCUCAGGCACCACUGGACUCCAAUGUUCAGAAAACGGACAGUUGCUAUGUUGUGAGUAUUCUGGCAUUGUUGAGUUGGAACCAUCUGGAAUCCUUCUGGAUACUGACUGUUGGGCCCCUUGUAGUUUCUGGAAUUUACCCGCUUCUAGGAGCCACCUCUCUCCUCUGCACACAGGAGCUCAUCUGCACUAAAGGAUUAGAAGCAAAUAGAAUCUACCCCACGAUCCAAGCUCAAAGGAUCUGGCCUGCUUGCUGGUGUCUUCCCCUGGCCUCCGCUGGGUGGUGUUUGCCUGCCCAGGUCACUGAGACCAGCAGAUCCUUCUAGGCUUUGCUGAACCUGGCUGGUAAUAACUAUCUGACCCUUCAAUUCUUCCAUACACUGAACUCGUUGCUCCAGUGAAUCCCUUUCCCAGCCCACCUUGUUUUGUCUCUGCCUUUCUGUCUCUCCCACUUUCUCACCCUUUCAUGUAAUUCAGCAACUAUUUUAAAACAAAUAGCUUUAUAUGAACAAAAGGACUAGAUCAUGAACUACACUGGUUAUUUGGAAGUCUAGGUUCUGGUCCUGCUACCCCUUUAACUUGAGUUAUUUACAAGUCUGUUUAAAAGUUUCUAGACAUA
ensembl:lncRNA novel transcript, antisense to HAAO